UAGGGAAUCUUCCGCAAUGGACGAAAGUCUGACGGAGCAACGCCGCGUGAGUGAAGAAGGAUUUCGGUUCGUAAAACUCUGUUGUUAGGGAAGAAAAAAUGUAUAGUAACUAUAUACAAAAGAGACGGUACCUAACCAGAAAGCCACGGCUAACUACGUGCCAGCAGCCGCGGUAAUACGUAGGUGGCAAGCGUUGUCCGGAAUUAUUGGGCGUAAAGCGCGCGCAGGUGGUUUAGAAAGUCUGAUGUGAAAGCCCACGGCUCAACCGUGGAGGGUCAUUGGAAACUAAUAAACUUGAGUGCAGGAGAGAAAAGUGGAAUUCCUAGUGUAGCGGUGAAAUGCGUAGAGAUUAGGAGGAACACCGGUGGCGAAAGCGGCUUUUUGGCCUGCAACUGACACUGAGGCGCGAAAGCGGGGGGAGCAAACAGG
rnacentral:rRNA from 1 species